UACGUAGGGAGCAAGCGUUGUCCGGAAUCAUUGGGCGUAAAGCGCGCGUAGGUGGCCAUGUAAGUCCGCUGUGAAAGUCAAAGGCUCAACCUUUGAAAGCCGGUGGAUACUGCAUGGCUAGAGUACGGAAGAGGCGAGUGGAAUUCCUGGUGUAGCGGUGGAAUGCGUAGAGAUCGGGAAGAACAUCGGUGGCGAAAGCGCUCUACUGGACGGUGACUGACACUCAGGGACGAAAGCUAGGGGAGCGAAUGGG
rnacentral:rRNA from 1 species